AGAGGAGGCAAUUUCAGGAUUUGAGGUUCCUCCUUCUCAGCAGCUGUCUCCGAUAUCUGUAUGAAUGAGAUAAAGUUACAAAAUGGUUUUCUUGGUGUCACAUACUGCCCUUCUCCUGAGUUGAUCCUAUGGGUUUUUUAAUGUGAAACUUACUGGAGCGGGUGGAUGUGCAUCCCACAGGAUGACAUUUUAUAAGUCAUUCCUUUACUGACUUAUCACAAUGGGAGCCUCCCUGCUUUAUUUCAUGCUUUGAGCUGUGUCGUACUUCCCUAGUCUGCGCUGCAUGGUGAAGCAAUGAGUGGAAUGAAGAGUUGAAUUACACACGAUUCCUUGAUGGUUCCAACAAGAUGAAAUGAGCACUACUUAGAGACUUUAAAGAGAAUUCACGGCAAAAACUGGUUGGCAAGGCAAAGAUCUUCUGUCUGAGGAAAGGCUCUAAAGUGUUGAAGCAGAUGUUGCUCCAACUCUAAGGCAUUUCUGCAGGAAAACUGGAUCUGGCCUGUGCCACGCCAAAAGAGGAUCUGGAGAGGUCAUCAGAAGGUGUCAAGACAAUGCCUUUUGGAUAGGGCUGUGCGAGAGCAAGGGGAGCUCACACUCGGACAGAGGGACUGCUCCAAGACAGAGAAGAAGCUGCUUCAGCACUGCCGUCUCUCCAGUCCUGCCUGGCAACCUUCUUGCUGCUGGUGGAAAAAGGGCAACUUUGCCCAAAAUGGCCUGGUUCUCCAGCUCUCUGCAGUACCCCUCGCUGACAGGAAGCUCGUGGGAAGCAAGAAGCACAGGGUGGUAGAAUAUACUGAAUAAAUUCUCCUAUAAUCCGUACAGAGACAGAGGAAGAGCACCUCUUAAUGCAGAGAAAUAAAGAUAUCAAUAUUUAAGGGCUGGAAGUUGUGCCUGACCGGUUGCUGCCUCCCACUGCUGCUUUUCAAGUGUCUCCUGAUUAAAACUGACACUCAACCUAGAUUCAUGCGACAGUCGAGCAUAAUUUUACUUGCUUUACUGAAGUUCAAGGUGCAGCACUGAGUGUUAAAGGCAGAUCUGUGUGGGAACUUUGGCUUCUUCUCCUGGCUCUGCUAAUGCUUCAACUGAAUGGUCUUGGAAAGCCAGCAGAAACCUGCACCUUCCUGAAAGUGCUUCAUCCCGAGAUUGCUGGAAGUGACCUUGCAGUGGGCUGUGGAUCCAGAUGUGAGGAAAGAUGGAGUACACUGUAUGGCCUAAGCUUUGAGAAACUAGGACUGGAAGAGUGCUUCAUAAUCAAGGGAUGUUUAGGAGAUCCUGCUUUCAGGUGCAGGUGCCUUUGCUAAGUUUAAUCACUUUGGUGAUGUUCUUUCCCCUCCAGGUAUCUACUCUAGACUGCAAAAUUUCAGCCGAAGCAAUUGCACAAAAUAGGUCUGGGGGUGGAGCAGGGCAGUGGGUAGACUCGACAGUGUUUUGCAAUAGUAGCAAAAGAAAAAUAAUUAAAUAAAGGCAACAAACAGUUCUGAUCUUUUCUUUAAAAUUGCCUGGCACACCCAUGCUUUGGAAAUGCCAGGCAUGAAAGCUGGCAGUGAACUGGCUUUUGUUUCAAGGAUAUGCCUUUUGCAGUUUCUGUCAAAAUCCAGCCAUAUUUGGUAAAGAAGUCAGGCCUUUAAAAAAACUUGGUUCAUGCAUAUUCAGCAGCAAGGAGUUGGAUUUUGGCAGUGCAUAAGGCUCUGCCCAAAGAGCCUUGGAGCCUCUGAGUCUGCCUUGGCCUCAGGGCAAGAGCGCUGGGAGGUAGAAGGUGAAGAUGUGCUUUCCUUGAGCUGUCCAUUUCUUCAGGGCUUUUACAGGAUGCUGAAAACUUGUGCUAGGAAGGCUGCACCUCUGUGUUAGCCUUCAAGAGUGCUUGAGGAAAAAACCUAUCCAGUGAAGAUGAGAGUAGGAGGGCAGGCAAUGUGAGACCAGAAGCCUGAGGUUUGGUUGGAACGGUUAAGGUCUGGGAAGGUGGGAGAAAAGGAGCAAAGAGAUGAUGAGGACUUGGCAAGGGACCAGGGCAUUGGCCUCUGGACAGAAAGAUGGGGAAUGAGGUCAGGAAAUGAGCCUGGAGCCUGGGAGUAUAGGCUUGUGAAUCAAGGGACAUGAAUUUGAAGGAGUAAGGUGUAGUUGGGGAGGAGAAUGGAGGAAAUAGUUGGGAUGAAGGAGAUGAGGCUGGACAGGGUCUGCAUUCUGUUGUUGUCUCAGUAUAAACUUUAACUGUGCUAAUUCCAGCUUAAAAGUCUUCAGUUAAAUAAAAACACAAAGUGCCAGGAUGAAGGUUGCCCCUAAAAAUUCAACCAUAUCUGCAUUUGAUCGUAUUCCUCUUCCCAUGUCUACAUGUAGUCUACAGGAACUGGUAUUUAAGCUAUUUGGGCAGGUUCUCAGCUAGUGAGAAUUAGUAUAACUUUAUCAAUGGCUCCAUACUGAUUUAUACAGAUAGCCUUGUCCUGUAAGUAUCUUCCCACCUCUGUUAUUUCUUAAUGUGGCUCAUACAUGUAAAGAUAAUGAAUAUGUGGUCUGGUACUGUCAGCCCUGUUGGGAGACUGAGGUUACUUAUGACUAGCCAAGAGCAGAAUUUUUCUCUUCCUCUGUAAAUUAUCUUCAUUUUACUGUGCUUUAAAAUGCAUCACUUGAAAGUCUAAAAUAUUUGACAGUCUGUAAAUGUAUUCAAACUACUGCUGUAUUUAGCAGUGGUCAAAUAUCUAGCAAUAUAUUACAUACUGUCACAUAUAUUUAAGAUAUGUGCAAAAGUGUCAUCAGACAGAAUAGUUAUGUGGAAAAUACUAUAAUAAAAGUAAAAACUUUCAUCAUCUACCAGUGGAAAUGACCCUAAUUUAUUUGGACCACCGACAUGCACAUAUAUCUUUUCUCUGACUCUUUAUUCUAUAAUUUUAAUAAAUAAUUUAGUUUUACUAUUUGUUUCCAUCAUACACAACAUCCUGGGAUGAGGUGGAAUUUGAAAUCCAGAAGGUAUCAAGUGGAAAUUAGUAUGUUCCUUUCAUUUUCCACAUAUAAUGAAGUAAAGUUUGAGUUUUAACAUCUUUGAAUAUUUAAAUGCCCUAGGACAUCCUGUAUUUAUGGAGGAUUUCUCUUUUAUUAGAUGACUUGUGUAUCUCC